UGUUACUGGAAUAUGGAAACU
rnacentral:piRNA from 1 species